UACGGGAGGGGCAAGCGUUGUUCGGAAUUACUGGGCGUAAAGGGCGCGUAGGCGGCCUUCUAAGUCGGACGUGAAAUCCCUCGGCUUAACCGAGGAACUGCGUCCGAUACUGAAAGGCUUGAAUCCGGGAGAGGGAUGUGGAAUUCCAGGUGUAGCGGUGAAAUGCGUAGAUAUCUGGAGGAACACCGGUGGCGAAGGCGGCAUCCUGGACCGGCAUUGACGCUGAGGCGCGAAAGCUAGGGGAGCAAACGGG
rnacentral:rRNA from 1 species